rnacentral:rRNA from 1 species
AUUGAACGCUGGCGGCAUGCCUUACACAUGCAAGUCGAACGGCAGCGGGGGAGAAGCUUGCUUUUCCUGCCGGCGAGUGGCGAACGGGUGAGUAAUACAUCGGAACGUGGCGUGUAGUGGGGGAUAACUAGUUGAAAGAUUAGCUAAUACCGAAUACGACCUGAGGUUGAAAGUGGGGGACCGCGAGGGCUCAUGCUAUAGGAGCGGCCGAUGUCUGAUUAGGUGGGUGGUGGGGUAAAGGCCUACCAAGGCGACGGUCAGUAGCUGGUCUGAGAGGAAGAUCAGCCACACUGGGCCUGAGACACGGCCCAGACUCCUACGGGAGGCAGCAGUGGGGAAUUUUGGACAAUGGGCGAAAGCCUGAUCCAGCAAUGCCGCGUGUGUGAAGAAGGCCUUCGGGUUGUAAAGCACUUUUGUCCGGAAAGAAAUGGCUCUGGUUAAUAUCUGGGGUCGAUGACGGUACCGGAAGAAUAAGGACCGGCUAACUACGUGCCAGCCGCCGCCGUAA